GAGUUUUGGCAAUCCAUGAUUGGUGUAUGGUUGAUCUGUGGAUGAUCCCUUCUGUUCCAAUUUUUGCCUCGAUGUUUUAGAGAUGUUUAUCCCUCUAUAUCAGGCACUAGCAUUUAUGUUUUAUCAAUUAUAUGGUUGUCAUACCUUGUGUGGACUGACCUAAAAUCCCUUAUAGAUUGAUAAACGUUGAUGUGCUUUAAGUUGAGAAUAUUCCUUAUCCUGACUGUCUACUCACGA
rnacentral:lncRNA from 1 species